GCUGCCAUGCUGGGGACCCGGGGCGGGUGGAGAGCUCUCCGCCGCUUCUUCUCUUCACUGCCGCGGGAGCAGCGGGUUCCGGCGGCUCGGCUGCGGGUCCGGGAGGCGUUGGGGGCCCGGGAAGCGGCGGGCAAAGUGAAGGUGCAGGGCUGGGUCCGCUCCGUCCGAUCCCAGAAGGAGGUUUUGUUCCUGCAUGUAAAUGAUGGGAGCUCUCUGGAAAGCCUCCAGGUGGUUGCUGAUCCCAGUCUGGAGUGUAGAGACCUGACUUUUGGAAGUGCAGUGGAAGUGCAAGGGAAACUGGUCAAAAGCCCUCACAAGAUGCAAGAUGUGGAGCUGCAAGCUGAUGCCAUUCAUGUGGUGGGACCUUGUGAUACUUUGUCAUUCCCCUUCAAAAUAAAGGAGAGGCACCCACUGGAGUAUGUCCGACAGUUCCCACACUUGCGAUGCAGAAGCAAUGCACUUGGAGCCCUCCUGAGAAUCCGCAGUGAAGCCACGGCAGCAAUCCACUCAUUCUUCCAGGAUAAUGGCUAUGUGCAUAUUCAUACUCCCAUAAUUACAUCAAAUGACUGUGAAGGUGCUGGGGAACUCUUUCAAAUUGGGACAUCACAGGAGGCAAAAGAAUCUGUGGAAAAGAACCACUUCUUUAAUGUGCCCACCUUCCUUACAGUUUCUGGCCAGCUCCAUUUGGAAGUGAUGGCAGGGGCCUUUACUCGUGUGUUCACCUUUGGCCCCACAUUUCGAGCUGAGAACUCACAGAGUCGCCGGCACCUGGCAGAGUUCUACAUGGUGGAGGCUGAGCUGUCCUUCACUGAAAGCCUCCAAGACAUCAUGCAGGUUAUGGAACAUCUUUUCAAGACAGCAACAAGCACUGUGUUCUCCAAAUGCCCUCGUGAUGUUGAGCUUUUUCAUAAAUAUGUAGCUCCUGCACAGAAGGGCAGGUUGGAACAAAUGCUGAAGAACAAAUUUGUAAUAAUUUCCUACAAUGAAGCAGUGGAAAUUUUGAAGCAGGCUUCUCAAACUUUCACUUUUAAGCCAGAGUGGGGCUGUGACCUCCAAACAGAACAUGAGAAGUACCUGGUGAAGCACUGUGGUGAGGUUCCUGUAUUUGUGAUUAACUACCCCUACGACCUCAAACCUUUCUACAUGCGGGACAAUGAAGAUGGACCUCAACAUACAGUUGCAGCUGUUGAUCUUCUAGUACCAGGAAUAGGGGAGUUGUGUGGAGGCAGCUUGAGAGAGGAGCGACUUCCCUUCUUGGAAUCACGCUUACAGAGAUUAGGACUCACAGAUGCCUACCAAUGUUCUUGAGGGGGACAUUUCUUGGCCCAGCUGCAUGGCCAUCACUGCCAGUCUCAAUGGAACAGCCAGUUCACUUCAACAAAGUUAAUCUAAUGCUACUUACCUUAUCUUCCCAAUUUGUCUGUGGACAGCACAGGUCAUUCCUUUCAGGAUUGCAUAAAGUAGAUUAAUUUACAACUCAUCAGUGAUACUAAGUCAUCAAAUUGUGUUCCAAAUUGAAUAGAUUCUGGCCACCAUCGCAUGAGAUAAACAGGUUGCAGAACCACAAGCAAUUUGUGACCUUUUAACAGCUCUGUGAAUGACUCCCUUUGCAAUUGACAGAGCAACUGGGUUGAAAAAUCUUCCCUAACAAAGCUGUUGAAGCAAUUAAAACUGUCCUGCUAAGGAGACAGAACAACCUUUGAAUUAACGAUUUAGCCCAUUAAAAUGACAAGAUUUUAGUGCUCCUCUUGACAAGUGUUUCUUGGUAUGUGCUUUGUCAAAGCUACUGAGAGGUUGAUAGUGUGGAGAAUUUUAAAUUUAGAAGAGUGUAUUCAAAUGCUCUUUAGUAUUUGGAUUGGCCAUUAGGGAGACUGCCUUGAAGAAUGCAGUGGUAGUGCAGGAUUCUUACACUCUCCCCUGAGUAUGAACUCACUUUGAAACAGGCCAGUGCCUGGCAGUUCUUUAUAUCAUCCAUUUGCAAACAAGGUGAAUGAAAUGUCUUCCAUUAUUAUUUGCAUUUAUGAGUCAGAAUGCACUGUAUCACUUCAUCUAACCCAAAGCAGAGGGUCAGAAUUUCUUUCUGUAAUUUCUCUGAGCCUGUAGCUUCUGCUUAUAGGAAAUAUUUUUAGACAGGCAUACAGGUUAACUGUCUGUGUUCCCAGGUAAAGCUGCUGGUAGAAAGCUGUUAACAUGCCCAGUGUAUCUUAUAGACCAAGCAGCCUGUGUAAGGGAGUAGCAGUCGAGUUGAACCUUUUUAGCCUACUCUGUUUCUUAGUUGUCCCUUUGAAGCUUAUGUGGAAUACUCAGAAGAAUCCCAGGGCCCUUUGUGGUACUUGUGAUGGUUGUUUUUACUCCUAACUCUGACCAGCACCUGAUAUCCUAGGUGAGCAUAGUCAGCAGCCCUUACAUAGAUAAUUAAAUAUUGGGUCUUCUGGAGAGGAAAGCAUGACCAAGGCUGAUCAGGUGUAUGGUUAGAUGUUGAGAUAUAGCCUUAGGAAGUCUGAUGCUCAGUAGCAGGGAGCCUUUCAGCAUUGCUAAAAUAGCUCAGCCCUGCCUUAUGCCCCCCAUGAGAAACACUGCCCAUCACCCAUUUUCGGUUUCAUGUCAUAUGUAGCUGUCCUGUAGUCUCAUUUGGGAGACUCUCUUCUCCCCUUUUUCCUCCAUUCCACUGAAGUGAUGCAGCUUCCCAUAGGAGACUGAAACUGUUUUUGCCCCUUGCACAAUUUGAUGUGCUGGGAAGCUGCAGGAUUAGAAUAUCCCAGGUAACUUCUGGAAUCCAGUCCAGAUUCUGCCAGUGAAGAGGUAGUUAUGUUGCCAGCAUCCUUCUCAGAGGAGGUGGCAGGAGAGACUGAAAUUAAUCUCCUCCAUUUUAAUGAAUGAAUUUAGUCUCCAAAGCUGGCACACAAACUCUUUGGAGAACAGCUGAGUCAUUUCUUUUGAAGUAUAUUUGCUAACUUUUGAAUGGACAGCUAUAUGAGAUGUCCCUUUUGAAAUCCCUUAGAUAAUGCCCUAUCUCCAAUUCUAGUUGUUUUCUUCUGUGUUUUGGGACACACUGUUUCUUCAAUGGCUUGAAGAGUUCCUUACUUGUGGAGGAGUCAUUGAUCAAAGAGGCAACCAACAAUCUGUAAACAAAGGAAUAUGGCCAACCUCCUCUCAGUCUUCUUCAGUUCAAUACAGCUUUCCUGUUGUGCAGGUUCCUUUCCAUAAAUAGUAAGAGGUGGGGAAGUACUUGGCUUGACUUUGGAGUAAUUUUAUCUUAUUUUCACACUCCUUCCUUUGAACUGUAGACAGAGCUCAGUGCUGUAGAUGCUGAUUUUGGCUAGACUGAGAGACAUCUAUGAAAUUGAGGUGGGAAAGUCAGGAGAUCAGAGUUUACUCUGGGAAGUCACUUGCUGCCUUUGUGCCUCUUUCCUGCUGUUCUCUGCCAGUGUAGGCUGUUAGCUCCAGAGGGCAGACUGUGAAUUCUGUGACCGUGGGGUACUGAAUAUAUUGUGUUAUAAAUGGACUGUAAAUCCAGCUCAUAUCAGUGGUUUCCACUGAACACUCUGAAUGCCUUCUUUUGUGGAUUACCAAAACAUUGUAGCAGAGCAGAAUUUGCAUGAUACCAAAGAUAGCAUUUUACCCAGCAUUAGAACCCAGAAUCAUGGAAUUGUUUGAGUUGGAAGGGACCUUUAAAGGUCAUCUAGUCCAACUCCCUGUAGAGAACAGGGGACACCUACAGCUCAGUCAUUUCCACAGAGCCUGUUACAGACUGAUCUUGUGUGUCUCCAAGGAUGGGGAUUCACCACAUCUCUGGACAAGCAGUUCCAGUGCCUCACUAGUGGUGCUUGCAUGUGUAUUUCCUAAAACAUUCAAUAAAACUGAUCCUUCAUAUGCUAACCCAUUUCACUGCUAGUUUUUUGUUAGCCAUAUUUUUUCCCUAGUAUAUUUCUUUUCUUCCAGUAAAAUAUUCAGCUCUGGGGAUGACAGUGUCUUUGUUCUCCCAGCCUUACUUUUUUCUGACUGGCAGCAGAGGCUUCAGUAUUACAAGAUGGUUAUAUGACAGAUCAAGAUUAUAUUUGUUUUGAAAGGAGACUAAAAAGCAUAUGUUCUGUUUUACAAACAAUCACUGAGAAUGCACUGAUCUUCACAGUGCCUUGCUGUGCAUCACAGGAUUUGGUGAUGGUGACACAAGGAUAUAGGUUUUGAAAAGGAUGAAAGGAAAUGCUUUUCUAACUUGGCACGUAACAAGCUCAUGGAAUUCACUGCCAGGGGAUGUUGUUGCAGCACAUAUUUUAGUAAGAUUCAAAUCUCAGAACUACCAGUCCUCCAAGUCCAGAACAUGAACAAUGAAGAUAGCAGGGGUCAUGGAAACUUACUUCCCCCAUUGGAAUAACGUUGCACAUUCCCUCAGUUGCCAAUGGAAGUCUCAGCCGUCCUCUGAAGCACAAGCUGCUGGGAGAAAUAGCUAGACUAGUUUGAGAGUGUUUUCCGAGGUGAGAAACAUACAAUGUGUGGAGAUUAUUGAGUGAAGGAAACCUCAGGAAACAUUUUCCAGCCUGAAGGGAUUUUUCUGUUAAUAUGCAGGAAGUUAUUCUUUCUUUCAUCUGAGAAGAACGGAAAAUUUCUCAAUUCCUUCACUUUUUCUAAGUGCAGACAUCAGGAAGGAUUCACAGGCUUGAUCCUCAGCACGUUUAAUUCAAUGGACUUUUUCUAUUAACUUUAAUGGGCUUUGUUUUGGUUCUUUUGCCAGAAUGGCUUCUCAGAGUGCUCUGAGAUCCAUAGAUGAAAGCCUUGGAUAAGCAAGGGUAGAAUUUAUUAUUAUUGUCCAUCUGGAAGGAGCAGAGUUACUUAAUUUUUAUGAUGACUUUAUAAACUGCAUUGCCACCAAAGAGGAAUGAAAGUGCUAGGCAGAGUCUGACUGACGUCACCUGCAAUAUCUGUGCUGUUAUUUCAACUCCCAGUUGCUGCUAGAGUUGCCACCAGCUGGUUUGCCAAUUCUUCUCAGAACUGCUGAGUCGGUGCAGGUUAACCUGCCACGGGCAGCACCCAUAUCACCCACAUCCCUCAGCUUUAUGAGGCCCUUUAUAUUUUACAAGUCACCACCCUCAGCAUUAGAUUUGCUCAUCAUCUUCUUCGCAAAGCUGCCAAGCAGGGUUUUCUGGAGGCAGUUCCCAGUAUGUAAGUGGAAACUCAGUGCUAGGAAGAGGUACCUAGACCUGCGAAAAUUUGGCUCUGUUCCUCAUGGAGGCUUCGGGAUGGGGUUUGAACGCUACCUGCAGUACAUCCUGGG